GCUAUUUUUAUUCCCAUUCACGCUCACAAUCACACAGCUUAAAACGAUGUAGACAGCAUUUUAAUGGGCUUCUGGCAAUAGAGGCUAGAUCAGCUAUUUUCUGCAGGAAAGAUACUGACUGAUCGAAAUCUCUAAAGUUCUGAAGUAGCAUUUAUGCCAAAAGCUCAUGAAAUACUACAGUUCUUAUUAUUUUUUGGUGGACUGCAGUGCAAUACCCCUGCGCUUGACAUCUACAUAUUUUUAAUUAGCUAGGGGCUUCUCACUUCCACUGUAAGGCCUCACCCCUGACUUGACCUUUUGAAGGUAAUCCAAAGUAAGUCCUGGUUUUCUAAAAAAAAAAAAAAAAAAAAAAAAACAGUUUAGAAUUUAUUAUCUACUAAUUUGACUUUGUGUUUAUGGUAAGGAUUAGGCAUUCUUGUUGCAGAGCAAUUAUUUCGGUACAUGUAUUAACAAGAACAGGCCUGGGACUGUCACUGCUAGCAUGUUAGCAUGCUAGUUUUAGGACGUAGCUCACAGCUAAAUGCUUACAAAACGACUGAAAAAUGACACACAAAAUAUUUUUUUUUAUGUAACUUUUGUUUAUAUAAGAGGGUCAAGCAACCCACCAGAACAAAAUUAUAGCCACAUCCACCAACGCCUCUGCUUUGGAGGCCGACGAGUCUGCUGGCUAGAUGUAGCACUCCCACUCUGAAAUCCACAAAAUCCCACACGCAUCCAGUCUUAGACAAGUGCACUCCCACUGUUUGGCUAUCUCCAGCUACUGAGGCGCUACAUUAUGCCUUUCUUCCUCUGUCCCACUGUACUGAAAUGCAGUUGUGUUUUUGUUUUUUUUAAAUAAAUGUCAAAUUUUAAUAGAAACGUGUCGCCUGAAUCCAAACAAAGUCAUCGCUCCACUUGAAGUGAACGGGUGAGAAUCUGCCAAGGCAUUUGCAAUAGUUUAUUGGGUCGAUAUCACUGCAUUCUAAAAGAUGCUUUUUCUUUGUUUAAUUGACCAUUAGACGGGGAAUUCGACAGAACUUCCACUGAAUUGAGUGAAUGAACGCACAGAAGCCACAGCUCACAAACGGGGCAGGGAGAUGGAGUUGGGGGACAUCAGGAUGCAGAGAGAGGGAGAGACAGAAGCAGACCAGCAGGAGGAAGACGUUGCCCUGGUAACUGCUGUCAGAGAGAAUGAGCCACUGUGUAUGAAGAUUCCUCCCCCUUGGCCCGGACACUGGUGGUGGAGAGGAUGGUGAAGACUGAAUGGAUAUCGAAGAAGCCACGAGCUGAAGGUGGAGGAGGGUUGGGGGAAGGUUGAAGCUCAGCCAACGAGCAGAAGCCGAUGAGCAGCUGGACCGUAUCAAGGGAGCGACGCUUGAUGAUUGGAGGAGGAGACCAUCACCGAUAGGUCGGAAUCGAGGCGCAUGAUGUCAUGCUUGGUUGAGCAGGUGAGAUUAAUCUUGACGAGUCUUCCAGUUUGAAUUUAACCAUUUCCUUCUUUUCCCACAACCUUUCCCAAACCAGAGCAUCUUCAGCCCUCAAACCCAAGUUCUGCCUGUUUAGGUUCUGGAUCUCUAGACAAUCUGCCUCAUGCUGCCUUUGGAGAUUGUCCAGUUCCUCAGAAAGACUCUCCAGCUCUCCAGUUUGCUGAUCCAUAGUCGGCUGUGCCUUCUUCAAGUCCAUCUGAAGAUCCUGGAGUGUUCUUCUCAGAGAUUGUUGGAGCAUUUCCAAACAAUCCACUGCGUCUCUCAUGUCCGUGUGUUCCUGCCCUGUCUCCUCAGGCGCUGCACGAAGAGACACCAGCUGUGCAUUUAAUGCAUCGUUUUCAUUUGCCAGCAUAUCACAUUUUGUUUUCAGGUCUGGUCGCCUGCAAGCACUUCUGCUAGACUUGGAGCGCUCAAUCUUUCUACAGAGAUUUUGUCCAAUAUGUUUUAGUUCUACGUUUUCUUUCUCCAGUCUCUCAUCCAAAAUGCUGGCAAGCUCAUCAGGCACAGGUUGGUCACUACCAUCUUCAGCCAUCUUUUUUUUACCUGUGUUGCUGGAAAGUCCAAGAUUGUUGGGGUAUGAAAUCCAGUUUUGUUCUUGUGUCUCAGCGCAAUCUAACAUUCAGAACAAAUGAGUAAGGAUUAAAGGGAGAUGGAUCACAGUCUGAUUUUGUUAUUUUAUAUGAAAUAUUGUCAUUUUGGUCCUUAAAACGUCCACUU